UACGUAGGUGGCAAGCGUUGUCCGGAAUUAUUGGGCGUAAAGCGCGCGCAGGCGGUCCUUUAAGUCUGAUGUGAAAGCCCACGGCUCAACCGUGGAGGGUCAUUGGAAACUGGGGGACUUGAGUGCAGGAGAGAAGAGUGGAAUUCCACGUGUAGCGGUGAAAUGCGUAGAGAUGUGGAGGAACACCAGUGGCGAAGGCGACUCUCUGGUCUGUAGCUGACGCUGAGGCGCGAAAGCGUGGGGAGCAAACAGG
rnacentral:rRNA from 1 species